rnacentral:snoRNA from 1 species
AUGCUCACAAGCACACUUAUCCUGCCCUGUGGCUGUGAUGGGUAGCUGGGAAAAUGUGAGCUAGAGCAUGAGUAUUGCUUUGGGAGUGUCCCAUUCCAGGCCAUGUGGGACACUACAGUUAUCAAUACAACA